rnacentral:rRNA from 1 species
UACAGAGGUCUCAAGCGUUGUUCGGAUUCAUUGGGCGUAAAGGGUGCGUAGGCGGCGGGGCAAGUCUGGUGUGAAAUCCCGGGGCUCAACUCCGGAACUGCACUGGAUACUGCCUUGCUAGAGUACUGGAGAGGGAACUGGAAUUUACGGUGUAGCAGUGAAAUGCGUAGAGAUCGUAAGGAAGACCAGUGGCGAAGGCGAGCUCCUGGACAGUAACUGACGCUGAGGCACGAAGGCUAGGGGAGCAAACGGG